rnacentral:lncRNA from 1 species
GAAAGGUGUGCUGUCCUUAGAUAGAGAUACUCUCCAAACCAAACUUGGAUGUAACUGUGAAGAAUAAUGUGCCAGGAAGAACUGCCCUGAGAGCAACACUGGGGCCCAUGAAGGACAGCGGACAGAAGACACCUUCUCAGAGGCCAGCACUUCGUCUACCAGAUUGGCUUUCCAAGGAACUCACUGAGCUGCGGGGUGGCUUAUCCUUCCUGUCCGGUAGUACUGGAAAUUUACACCCUUCUUCUUAACAAGUUGAUUGAAAGUCAUACCUGAGCAGGUAAUUUUGGCUUCUUCAUAGUGAUCACAGGUAAGUCCACCCCAUUGCCAGUUCUUGCAGUCCCAAAGAGAAGUUUCAUUUCCGUUACAGCUACUUAGAAACAGCCAUGUGUUUGUUGCCUGGAUUUUGGAGUACACUUGAUAAGAUGUUUUGAGUGCAGAUCCACAUCCCAGCUGCCUGCAAACCACAUCAGCUUCUUUCAGUCCCCAGCCUCUGUCACACACCUUCCCUAACAGUCUCUGAAUCUCCACCUCAACUGUCCCAGCACAGCGGCUGCCUCCACCUCUAAGUCUUAGCUCCAGAUCUGAUCCAUCUGCAAAA